rnacentral:sRNA from 1 species
GCCAGGCGGGGUGGCGCAUGCCUGUAAUCCCAGUGGCUCAGGAGGCUGAGGCAGGAGGACCUCAAGUUCAAAUCCAGUCUCAGCAAUUUAGUGAGGCCCUAAGAAACUCAGUGAGACCCUGUCUCUA